GAGAAGCUUCGCGGCUGACCUUUAACUUCCCCACACCUCAGGGGACCUGAUGUGGAAGGUUCUUGCAAGCCUAUGCUCAGCGAGCUCUGGGAAAGGAAGGCCAGAUUUGGUCACAGUGAUCUCAGAGGACAGUGCCUGGACACGAUAUUCUGUGUUUGUGCUUGCAAUCUCAGAAACAGCACGAGAUUGUGGAGGCUUCACGAACUCUGAAACUUUGCUCACGAGUUGCAAGCAAAGCUGUGAGUUUUCCAAAGGUUAUUUGGCCAGAAGAGGAUGUCAGCACACAGAAGAAGAGACCACCACUGCUGGCCUUUCCAGUUCCAGCCGGACACCGCGGAGCACUGUUGACAACCGUGCAGGGCUCAUUCUCCUUCACAGAGAGGGGGCCGGGUGCGCCUCCCAGCCCAGGCCCCCAGGAGGCUCUGAGAGGGCAGAGGGGAGGGCCUUCUAAUAAGGCAUAAGCUGCUGGAAAGACAAACUCAAGCGCAAGCUGGGAGGAUCUCACUAGACCUACAAAAGUGGAAGGAAGCUGGCCGGGUGCCUGGCGCUGUGUGACCUACGCAACGAAAGGCAAGCUGAUCUUAGAAUGCUCAAAGAGGAGCAACUCUCCCAUGACCCUGUCCGUUUACACCAGAGAAGAGCAGAUAUGUCAUUCUGCUGCCAGGGCUGAGGAGGGGCAGUUUGCAUCAGGAGCAGACAAGUGGGUGCAACAGACUCUGAUUGCAAAAGUAGAGAAGAUCUCUCUGGAAGGAAACCUCCCAAUGUUUUCACCACGAGCUGUCAUGAAGAGAGACCUUGUGAAGGUGUUUUUUCAUUUUUCUCUGCAUCUAUCCAACUCAGAUGACUGCGCUUAUCCUCAGCACGCUCAGGGUUUUCCCGUGAUGACACGCAGAUGCCCAUUUCCCUCCCCUGUCCUGCUUCAUGGACUUGGAGGGCGGGCAGGAAUUUGGCACGUGCUGCAGCUUUUCAGAGCAGCCCUGUGCACUGGGGCCUGGACGCCCAGGCUCUGCUUCCUCCCUCCUUUCUCGUCCUUCUUUUUCCUUCAACAAAUAUUUAUGGGCAUCUUGUAUCUGUUGUACACUUUUAAAUGUUAGGUAAGCAAGUUACAACUGAUGGCCUCCAAAAGCUUCCGGUCUAGAAGAGGUCGAGAUGGAGGAGUGAAAAUUAGAAUGCAGUCUGAUAAGGGCAAGGAUAGGCAAGACUGGGACAGAAGAGCACAGAGCAUUAUGGGAACCAAUCAAAAGGGAGCCCGUAGUGGUGGGGCAGAGCUCAGGCCAAGACUCAGAGAAGCAGUGCUGUCCUAGAUGGAGACCAGGCUGGCUCAGCUUUGAGGCACAGGAUGCUUUGGGGUCUGAGCAGUCGGUGACGAGGUAGUGAGUUCAUUCAGUGUGUGAUGAGGAAAGUCCGAUCAUAGGGGAAAUCUAUGGUUUUGGAAGAGAGGAAAGACCUCACGUUUACCUGGUUAAACCAGAAAGAGUUAAUGUAGCAAACUGAGGAGAAACUGUGCAGGUUAGCCAGUCUUUAGGGUGGGAGAGGGACAAGCAAGGAGAGGACAAGCAGACAUGUGGAACGGUUCACAUCAUUUUAACCAAGAGAACAAGGGCAGCCAAGGACAUGGGGGAACUUCUCCUGGUCAGGUAAAAGGACCUAGUUAGCAUGUCAUAGUUUCCUGUAGUAUGAUUUUUUUUUUUUUAAGCAAAUAUAAGGCCAGUCCUGGUGUCCUAGUGGUUAAGUUCAGUGUUCUCCACAUCAGGUGGCCCUGGUUCAGUUCCUGGAUGCAGAUCUACACCUUUCUGUUAGAGGCCAUGUUGUGCUGGCAGCCCACAUACUAAAAAAUGGAGGAAGAUUGGUAUGGAUGUUAGCUCAGGGGGAAUCUUCCUCAGCAAGAAAAAAAACAUGCAUACUAACACAUGCCGUUGAAUAAAUAGGGCAAGGCCAUUCCA
rnacentral:lncRNA from 1 species